rnacentral:misc_RNA from 1 species
GAUGAAGAACGUAGCGAAAUGCGAUACGUAAUGUGAAUUGCAGAAUUCAGUGAAUCAUCGAGUCUUUGAACGCACAUUGCGCCCCCUGGUAUUCCGGGGGGCAUGCCUGUCCGAGCGUCAUUGCUGCCCUCAAGCACGGCUUGUGUGUUGGGCCUCCGUCCUCCUCCCGGGGGACGGGCCCGAAAGGCAGCGGCGGCACCGCGUCCGGUCCUCGAGCGUAUGGGGCUUCGUAACCCGCUCUUGUAGGACCGGCCGGCGCUUGCCGACACAUCAAUCUUUUUUCCAGGUUGACCUCGGAUCAGGUAGGGAUACCCGCUGAACUUAAGCAUAUCAAUAAGCGGAGGA